GGGAUGUGAUGAGCGGUCAGAAUAUUGCAAUAAAAAAUGCAAUAUGGGUGUCUAGCCCAAGCCUGUUACGACAACAUAGGCGCUCUCGUUUUUAACCAAUCUGAUCCC
rfam:Daucus carota subsp. sativus cultivar DH1 chromosome 2, whole genome shotgun sequence.